rnacentral:rRNA from 1 species
GAUGAACGCUGGCGGCGUGCCUAAUACAUGCAAGUCGAGCGAACAGACGAGGAGCUUGCUCCUCUGACGUUAGCGGCGGACGGGUGAGUAACACGUGGAUAACCUACCUAUAAGACUGGGAUAACUUCGGGAAACCGGAGCUAAUACCGGAUAAUAUAUUGAACCGCAUGGUUCAAUAGUGAAAGACGGUUUUGCUGUCACUUAUAGAUGGAUCCGCGCCGCAUUAGCUAGUUGGUAAGGUAACGGCUUACCAAGGCGACGAUGCGUAGCCGACCUGAGAGGGUGAUCGGCCACCCCGGAACUGAGACACGGUCCCGACUCCUACGGGAGGCAGCAGUAGGGAAUCUUCCGCCAUGGGCGGAAGCCUUACGGGGCAACGCCGCGUGAGUUAUGAAGGUUUUCCGAUCGUAAAACUCUGUUAUUAGGGAAGAACAAAUGUGUAAGUAACUAUGCACGUCUUGACGGUACCUAAUCAGAAAGCCACGGCUAACUACGUG